GUUUGAUCCUGGCUCAGGAUGAACGCUGGCGGCGUGCCUAAUACAUGCAAGUCGAACGAGGUGCUUGAGUAGCAAUACGAGAGUAUCCUAGUGGCGAACGGGUGAGUAACGCGUUGGUGACCUACCCCAAAGUGUGGGAUAACAGUCCGAAAGGAUUGCUAAUACCGCAUGUGGUUCUCGGGUUUAGAAACCGAUAACUAAAGGAGCAAUUCGCUUUGGGAGGGACCUGCGUCCCAUCAGCUAGUUGGUGAGGUAACGGCUCACCAAGGCGACGACGGGUAGGGGACCUGAGAGGGUGACCCCCCACAAUGGAACUGAAACACGGUCCAUACACCUACGGGUGGCAGCAGUAGGGAAUAUUGCACAAUGGGCGAAAGCCUGAUGCAGCAACGCCGCGUGCAUGAUGAAGGCCUUCGGGUCGUAAAAUGCUUUUCUGAGAGAUGAGAAAGGACAGUAUCUCAGGAAUAAGUCUCGGCUAACUACGUGCCAGCAGCCGCGGUAAAACGUAGGAGGCGAGCGUUAUCCGGAUUCACUGGGCGUAAAGCGCGUGCAGGUGGCUUGGUAAGUUGGGCGUGAAAUCUCCCGGCUCAACUGGGAGAGGUCGUCCAAUACUACCGAGCUAGAGAGCAGAAGAGGAAGAUGGAAUUCCCGGUGUAGUGGUGAAAUGCGUAGAUAUCGGGAGGAACACCAGUGGCGAAGGCGAUCUUCUGGUCUGUUUCUGACACUCAGACGCGACAGCUAGGGUAGUAAACGGGAUUAGAGACCCCGGUAAUCCUAGCCGUAAACGAUGUGAACUUGGCGUUGGUGGGUUAAACUCCAUCAGUGCCGAAGCAAACGCGAUAAGUUCACCGUCUGGGGACUACGGGCCGCAAGGUUAAAA
rnacentral:rRNA from 1 species